AACGAACGCUGGCGGCAUGCCUAACACAUGCAAGUCGAACGAGACCUUCGGGUCUAGUGGCGCACGGGUGCGUAACGCGUGGGAACCUGCCCUUAGGUUCGGAAUAACUCCCCGAAAGGGGUGCUAAUACCGGAUAAUGUCUUCGGACCAAAGAUUUAUCGCCUUUGGAUGGGCCCGCGUUGGAUUAGCUAGUUGGUAGGGUAAAAGCCUACCAAGGCGACGAUCCAUAGCUGGUCUGAGAGGAUGAUCAGCCACACUGGGAAUGAGACACGGCCCAGACUCCGACGGGAGGCAGCAGUGGGGAAUAUUGGACAAUGGGCGAAAGCCUGAUCAAGCAAUGCCGCGUGAGUGAUGAAGGCCUUAGGGUUGUAAAGCUCUUUUACCCGGGAUGAUAAUGACAGUACCGGGAGAAUAAGCGCCGGCUAACUCCGUG
rnacentral:rRNA from 1 species